rnacentral:lncRNA from 1 species
GCAACUUCUAUUCUUGUGACUUUCCUGUUAAAUAUAACUGAUUCUUGUAGAAUUUGUAUACGAUUCCCGUGAAAUUUCUAGGUUCCAAAUGGGACCCUCAAAGGUGAGCUGAAUAGCACAUGACUUCUAGGAGCAAAGCAAUGGUUGAUUUGGGCUACGGUGAGUUUUUUUUUUUUUGGCAUAUACGUAAGAAACAAAGCCCACUAAUCCCAUUUACUCUUCAAAUGUCUACUGAUUGACAGUUUUUUGACGCUUUGUUCUUAUUGUACAAAGUAGGUGCCAAAACUACUGCAUCUACAAGUCAGAGCAACUGAGGGCUAGAGCUCAGUUUCAUCUCUGCUGGGCUCUCCACGACCUGUAUAUAAACAUCAUUUUGAAAAUAAAAAAAAUUAUAUUUUCUUUUAAACAACAGAAGUACAACAGAGCAACACGACUACAAUACCAAAAGUAACUAAGAGCAAAAGACUAAAAACAAUAAUAACUCCUUGAUAAGCGAGAUUUGUACUUGUUCUGGGGCGUAGAGGUAUGUUGUAACAAAAAAAAAUGUCAAUAAAACCAUAAAAAAGUUGUGUUUUGAACGUAGAUCAUGCAAUUGUUAAAAAUGUUACUCAUGACAGGGGGAAAUAAGUAUUUGCUUCCUAUGUACUCUUAUUUUUUAGAGGUUAUUUUUGUCAAGUUUUCUUUUUAUACAAGUUAUUAUUGUUUUCCUUGAUAUAUACUCCCUCUGUCCUUGAAAGCUGCAAUUUCUAAAGUUGUCUUAAGUCA